rnacentral:rRNA from 1 species
AUACGUAGGUGGCGAGCGUUGUCCGGAAUUACUGGGCGUAAAGGGUGCGUAGGCGGAUAAUCAAGUCAGAUGUGAAAGUCCAUGGCUUAACUGUGGGAGUGCAUUUGAGACUGAAGAUCUAGAGUGCAGGAGAGGGAAGCGGAAUUCCUAGUGUAGCGGUGAAUGCGUAGAUAUUAGGAAGAACACCAGUGGCGAAGGCGGCUUUCUGGACUGUAACUGACGCUGAAGUACGAAAGCGUGGGGAGCAAACAGGAUUAGAUACCCUGGUAGUCCACGCUGUAAACGAUGAGUAUUAGGUGUAGGGGACGAUAGUCUUCUGUGCCGGAGCAAACGCAAUAAAUACUCCGCCUGGGGAGUACGGUCACAAGACUAAA